CUCCCUGCUGCAGGUUGUUGAGGAUCUGAUGGGGACUCGCAUCUCAGGAGCCGGAGGUGACUAAAGAAAUGUUGAAUACAGUACUCUGCAAAAAAUAACGUGUGGAUUUCUCAAACCUGAAGAACAAGAAAAGGCACUGCCUCUUUGGGGUCCCUUUGCUUUGGAAAUGAAACUGAUGUAAAUGGAAGGUCUCAGACUCUGGAUACUGGCUGUGGGAUUUUUUUUUUUAAUUAUUAUUAUUAUUAUUGAUUUUUUUUGUCCCUCUUUUUGGAUGUGAAUUGAAGGCCAACAACAGUGAAGUGUUGGAAGCAAGUGCAGGAGGACGCUCACCUUUUUAUUUGAACCCUUGUUUGCUGGGAUACUU
rnacentral:lncRNA from 1 species